rnacentral:rRNA from 1 species
GACGAACGCUGGCGGCGUGCUUAACACAUGCAAGUCGAACGGAAAGGCCCUGCUUUUGUGGGGUGCUCGAGUGGCGAACGGGUGAGUAACACGUGAGUAACCUGCCCUUGACUUUGGGAUAACUUCAGGAAACUGGGGCUAAUACCGGAUAGGAGCUCCUGCUGCAUGGUGGGGGUUGGAAAGUUUCGGCGGUUGGGGAUGGACUCGCGGCUUAUCAGCUUGUUGGUGGGGUAGUGGCUUACCAAGGCUUUGCCGGGUAGCCGGCCUGAGAGGGUGACCGGACCAAUUGGGACUGAGGUCAGGCCCAGACUCCUAUGGGAGGCAGCAGUGGGGAAUAGUGCACAAUGGGCGGAAGCCUGAUGCAGCAACGCCGCGUGCGGGAUGACGGCCUUCGGGUUGUAAACCGCUUUCGCCUGUGACGAAGCGUGAGUGACGGUAAUGGGUAAAGAAGCACCGGCUAACUACGUG